UGGGGAAUAUUGGACAAUGGGCGAAAGCCUGAUCCAGCCAUGCCGCGUGUGUGAAGAAGGUCUUCGGAUUGUAAAGCACUUUAAGUUGGGAGGAAGGGCAGUAAGCGAAUACCUUGCUGUUUUGACGUUACCGACAGAAUAAGCACCGGCUAACUCUGUGCCAGCAGCCGCGGUAAUACAGAGGGUGCAAGCGUUAAUCGGAAUUACUGGGCGUAAAGCGCGCGUAGGUGGUUCGUUAAGUUGAAUGUGAAAGCCCCGGGCUCAACCUGGGAACUGCAUCCAAAACUGGCGAGCUAGAGUAGGGCAGAGAGUGGUGGAAUUUCCUGUGUAGCGGUGAAAUGCGUAGAUAUAGGAAGGCACACCAGUGGCGAAGGCGACCACCUGGGCUCAUACUGACACUGAGGUGCGAAAGCGUGGGGAGCAAACAGG
rnacentral:rRNA from 1 species